AGUAAAAGGAUCUGGGCUGCAGUCCAGUCUGAGAGAUGCCAGCAAAGGCUUCCUAGGCCAGUUCAGUCCAGUAAAUCCCUCUUCGAUCUUCUCUUCCACACAGACAGCAGUGAUGAGCAUGCCCAUGAACUCACAUGAUUAUUUUGGGGAAAAUGAAAGAGUUGUAUUCUUUUUGAGGUAGUAAUUCCACUUUCAGGGGCAAAUACAUUUUGAUUAUUUUAUCACCCUUCAGUGAGUUGUUUUUGUUCUUUAAUCAAGGAUGUAUGUUUGAAGUAAGAAGUAAAGCAUAAAG
rnacentral:lncRNA from 1 species